AGACCCGAAACCCGGUGAUCUAGCCAUGGGCAGGUUGAAGGUUGGGUAACACUAACUGGAGGACCGAACCGACUAAUGUUGAAAAAUUAGCGGAUGACCUGUGGCUGGGGGUGAAAGGCCAAUCAAACCGGGAGAUAGCUGGUUCUCCCCGAAAGCUAUUUAGGUAGCGCCUCGUGAAUUCAUCUCCGGGGGUAGAGCACUGUUUCGGCUAGGGGGCCAUCCCGGCUUACCAACCCGAUGCAAACUGCGAAUACCGGAGAAUGUUAUCACGGGAGACACACGGCGGGUGCUAACGUCCGUCGUGAAGAGGGAAACAACCCAGACCGCCAGCUAAGGUCCCAAAGUCAUGGUUAAGUGGGAAACGAUGUGGGAAGGCCCAGACAGCCAGGAUGUUGGCUUAGAAGCAGCCAUCAUUUAAAGAAAGCGUAAUAGCUCACUGGUCGAGUCGGCCUGCGCGGAAGAUGUAACGGGGCUAAACCAUGCACCGAAGCUGCGGCAGCGAACGUAUCACUUAAAGCGAUUCAGCGGAUGACGAUUGACGGAGCGAAGCGACGUCAAAGCGUAUACAAAGUCGAGUCGGUUUAAGGAUACGUUCGUUGGGUAGGGGAGCGUUCUGUAAGCCUGCGAAGGUGGCCUGUGAGGGUUGCUGGAGGUAUCAGAAGUGCGAAUGCUGACAUAAGUAACGAUAAAGCGGGUGAAAAGCCCGCUCGCCGGAAGACCAAGGGUUCCUGUCCAACGUUAAUCGGGGCAGGGUGAGUCGACCCCUAAGGCGAGGCCGAAAGGCGUAGUCGAUGGGAAACGGGUUAAUAUUCCCGUACUUGGUGUUACUGCGAAGGGGGGACGGAGAAGGCUAUGUUGGCCGGGCGACGGUUGUCCCGGUUUAAGCGUGUAGGUGUGUGUUCCAGGUAAAUCCGGUUCACUUUAACACUGAGGCGUGACGACGAGGCACUACGGUGCUGAAGCAACAAAUGCCCUGCUUCCAGGAAAAGCCUCUAAGCAUCAGGUAACAUCAAAUCGUACCCCAAACCGACACAGGUGGUCAGGUAGAGAAUACCAAGGCGCUUGAGAGAACUCGGGUGAAGGAACUAGGCAAAAUGGUGCCGUAACU
rnacentral:rRNA from 2 species